AGCUUACCAGUUGGGCUCCUGCUGAGAGCUGUCCCUGAAAGAAACCUCUCCCUUGGUGCCAGAAGGAGCCUUAAGAGAUAAGAUCCUCACUGCUAAAUAUAGACUUCAGCAAUAAUCUUCCUAAUUUCUUAUCGUUUCUCCUGACUGCUGGUAGUGUCUUACUGCCCAGUGUGCUCAAACCUACUCAGACAUCUCCCUCCACUUUCAGAGAUGAAGACAUCACACAAGAGAUGUAAUGUAUCACACAUUUAGAAAAGGAAGCACUCAUGCCUUGGGAGAUUUGUUGUGGAUAGAUAUUUAAUUUAGCAUAUUAAAUAAAGAGAAACCACAACGGUUUAAAAAUAUCCUGUUGAUCUUCAUCUGAACCGUUUCUGGUACAGCACUCGUCUGUCUUCUAUUCCUUCUUACAAGAUGAGAGUCCAAUUGCAGAGCUGAUGUGGGAACAGUGAGCUCUGUAACAUAACUCCCGAUACCACCUUGCUCAGGAAAGAAAAUGCGAGCCACAAUUACUGACUGACUCUUUUUUCCUAUAGUCUUUGAACUUUAAUGAACUAGAAAGAGGAGUAUGGAAAAAGAGGAGUCAGGAAAAUAAGGUCACCUACUCAACUGAUCAUAAGUGCUUUUUUGAUUUUUGCCCAAUUUUAAUUUUGGUCUUUAAAGGAAUCAGUACAAAAUAACAGUAAGCUGUCUGAACAAUGGCUAAUCAGAAAUGCAGAGCGUUAUACAUUCAAAAUGCAAACAAAUAAAUUUGAUUGUUCUUUUUCUUCAUAUCAUGUCUUUCUACCCAUUUAUUUCCUUCCUAUGCUCUGCUCCAACUUCAGGAGGUUCCUUUUAAUGAACGGGCAGAAUAUUUCAGAAGCAGAGGUUAUGUUCUGUCAUGUCAUUUAUCUGUGAGUCCAAAAGCUUGACAUUCUCUACUGAGAAUGUGUUAAAAGAGACUUGUGGAGCUGGAUGUGCACAUGAAAGUUUGAAGGUUCCAGACGGCUUUUCUUUGAUGUCACUGAUUGCUUCCUGCAUUUCGUUAUAUCUGUUUCCCUUUACUUGCUUAACUCCCAUAGGCAUCAGCAAAUAAGGUCUAAAUUGAAAUGUAUUUGGCUAAACAAAUAUUUUCUAUCUCAAUUUACUUGUGACAAGCUUAAUGAAAUCAUAGGGACAUGUAUUUAUGUACCAAUUAGAAUCAGAAAUUGUCUGCUUAUGUCCAAAAGAAGUGCAGAAGUAGGAUUCUGAGGUGUCAGAAUAUAGGCAGCAUAGCAGAAGCUGCAUCUGUAGCAUCGUUACCUACUUAUAUGUUUGCAUCACAGGACAUUUUUCUGUUUCUUUGUUUCUUUGCACUGCAUUAUCAGUCACACAGUAUCAAUCAGAGAAGGUCAGAAAAGCCAGAAAAUGGGUUGAAGUUCCUGAUGCCUUGAUGAAACUACAGAAGGAAAACAGAGAGCCACAUGUCACAUUUGUAUAUAUAUUCGUAUAUAUCAUACGGAUAUAUGCAAAAUAAAGGGACAUGUCCUCUACCAGCAACAAUUUAAA
ensembl:lncRNA